AAAAGCUCGUAGUUGGAUCUCAGCUCCGGCCGGACGGUCCGCCUACCGGUGGUUACUGUUCGCAGCCGAGCGUUCAGGCGGUUAUUCUUGAUGAUCUUCACCGGUUGUCUCGGGUGACCGCCAAGUUUACUUUGAAAAAAUUAGAGUGCUCAAAGCAGGCGUGACGCCUGAAUAAUUGUGCAUGGAAUAAUGGAAUAGGACCUCGGUUCUAUUUUGUUGGUUUUCGGAACACGAGGUAAUGAUUAAGAGGGACAGACGGGGGCAUUCGUAUUGCGACGCUAGAGGUGAAAUUCUUGGACCGUCGCAAGACGAACUACUGCGAAAGCAUUUGCCAAGAAUGUUUCCGUUAAUCAAGAACGAAAGUUAGAGGUUCGAAGGCGAUCAGAUACCGCCCUAGUUCUAACCAUAAACGAUGCCAGCCAGCGAUCCGGCUGUGUUCCUCAAAUGACACGCCGGGCAGCUUCCGGGAAACCAAAGCCUUUGGGUUCCGGGGGAAGUAUGGUUGCAAAGCUGAAACUUAAAGGAAUUGACGGAAGGGCACUACAAGGAUUGGAGCCUGCGGCUUAAUUUGACUCAACACGGGAAAACUUACCCGGCCCGGACACAGGAAGGAUUGACAGAUUAAGAGCUCUUUCUUGAUUCUGUGGGUGGUGGUGCAUGGUCGUUCUUAGUUGGUGGGGUGACUUGUCUGGUUGAUUCCGAUAACGAACGAGACUCUAGCCUACUAAAUAGACGUUCCCAUCCUCUUGUAGUGGGACGUUCUUCUUAGAGGGACAAGCGGCGCUUAGCCGCACGAGACAGAGCAAUAACAGGUCUGGGAUGCCCUUAGAUGUCCGGGGCCGCACGCGCGCUACAUUGAAGGAAUCAGCGUGUGCUUUCCCUGUCCGAAAGGACUGGGUAACCCGUUGAACCUCCUUCGUGCUGGGGAUUGGCGCAUGUAAUUGUCGCCAUGAACGAGGAAUUCCUAGUAAGCACGAGUCAUCAGCUCGUGUUGAUUACGUCCCUGCCCUUUGUCCACACCGCCCGUCGCUACUACCGAUUGAAUGAUUUAGUGAGGUCUUCGGACUGGCGCUCGGAUUGGCCUUCGCGGUCGAGCCGGUGUGCCGGAAAGAUGACCAAACUUGAUCAUUUAGAGGAAGUAAAAGUCGUAACAAGGUUUU
rnacentral:rRNA from 1 species